rnacentral:rRNA from 1 species
GACGAACGCUGGCGGCGUGCCUAACACAUGCAAGUCGAACGGGGAGUUAGUAAUAACUCCUAGUGGCGAACGGGUGAGUAACGCGUAGAUAACCUGCCUCUAAACUGGGGACAACACCGCGAAAGUGGUGCUAAUACCGAAAGUGGUAUCUUGGUCGCAUGACUGAGAUAAGAAAGAUGGCCUCUGAAUAUGCUAUCGAUUAGAGAUGGGUCUGCGUCUGAUUAGCUAGUUGGUGAGGUAACGGCUCACCAAGGCGACGAUCAGUAGCCGGUCUGAGAGGAUGAACGGCCACACUGGGACUGCGACACGACCCAGACUCCUACGGGAGGCAGCAGUGGGGAAUCUUCCGCAAUGGACGAAAGUCUGACGGAGCAACGCCGCGUGAGUGAAGAAGGUCUUCGGAUUGUAAAGCUCUGUCGUUUGGGACGAACGUAUUCUAUGUGAAUAAUGUAGAGUAAUGACGGUACCAAAGGAGGAAGCCACGGCUAACUACGUGCCAGCAGCCGCAGUAA